rnacentral:rRNA from 1 species
AGCAGCCGCGGUAAUUCCAGCUCCAAUAGCGUAUAUUAAAGUUGUUGCAGUUAAAAAGCUCGUAGUUGAAUUUCGGGGUCAGUAGGCUGGUCGUGCCCCCGGUACGUACUGGUCUCACUGAUUCCUCCUUCCUGAAGAACCGUAAUGCCAUUAAUUUGGUGUUGCGGGGAAACAGGACUGUUACUUUAGAAAAAAUUAGAGUGUUUAAAGCAGGCUAACGCUUGAAUACAUUAGCAUGGAAUAAUGAAAUAGGACGAUCGAUCCUAUUUUGUUGGUUUCUAGGAUUGACGUAAUGAUUAAUAGGGAUAGUUGGGGGCAUUAGUAUUCAAUUGUCAGAGGUGAAAUUCUUGGAUUUAUUGAAGACUAACUACUGCGAAAGCAUUUGCCAAGGAUGUUUUCAUUAAUCAAGAACGAAAGUUAGGGGAUCGAAGACGAUCAGAUACCGUCGUAGUCUUAACCAUAAACUAUGCCGACUAGGGAUCGGAUGAUGUUAAUUUUAUAAUGACUCAUUCGGCGCCUU